rnacentral:rRNA from 1 species
AAUGAACGCUGGCGGCAGGCCUAACACAUGCAAGUCGAACGGAUCCUUCGGGAUUAGUGGCGGACGGGGGAGUAACGCGUGGGAACAUACCCUUUGGUACGGAAUAGCCUCGGGAAACUGGGAGUAAUACCGUAUGUGGUCGAGAGACGAAAGAUUUAUCGCCAAAGGAUUGGCCCGCGUUGGAUUAGGUAGUUGGUGGGGUAAUGGCCUACCAAGACGACGAUCCAUAGCUGGUUUGAGAGGAUGAUCAGCCACACUGGGACUGAGACACGGCCCAGACUCCUACGGGAGGCAGCAGUGGGGAAUCUUAGACAAUGGGGGAAACCCUGAUCUAGCCAUGCCGCGUGAUCGAUGAAGGCCUUAGGGUUGUAAAGAUCUUUCAGGUGGGAAGAUAAUGACUGUACCACCAGAAGAAGCCCCGGCUAACUACGUGCCAGCAGCCGCUGUAA